rnacentral:rRNA from 1 species
GAUGAACGCUGGCGGCGUGCCUAAUACAUGCAAGUCGAGCGAACGGACGAGAAGCUUGCUUUUCUGAUGUUAGCGGCGGACGGGUGAUUAACACGUGGAUAACCUACCUAUAAGACUGGGAUAACUUCGGGAAACCGGAGCUAAUACCGGAUAAUAUUUUGAACCGCAUGGUUCAAAAGUGAAAGACGGUCUUGCUGUCACUUAUAGAUGGAUCCGCUCUGCAUUAGCUAGUUGGUAAGGUAACGGCUUACCAAGGCAACGAUGCAUAGCCGACCUGAGAGGGUGAUCGGCCACACUGGACCUGAGACACGGUCCCGACUCUACGGGAGGCAGCAGUAGGGAAUCUUCCGCAAUGGGCGAAAGCCUGACGGAGCAACGCCGCGUGAGUGAUGAAGGUCUUCGGAUCGUAAAACUCUGUUAUUAGGGAAGAACAUAUGUGUAAGUAACUGUGCACAUCUUGACGGUACCUAAUCAGAAAGCCACGGCUAACUACGUG